UGAAUCUCUCAUUUUCUGGUUUGAGCAUUUUGGUGCUUUUUUCCCCUUCUGAGCUGCUGGAUCAGCUGGAGCCGGGUUCAUCACUAAGCAGUUGCCCAGAGGCCAAGAAACAGAGAGGCAACCGUUGUUAGUGUGGUUACUGAGCAACUACGGGGUUAAAACGGGCAUAAAAAGAGCCACAUGUAAGCUCGUUUGCAUGUGCGCAAGCACACACAUUUAUCGGAGGUGUUUCCUUUAGGCACAAGACUGAUGAGGAAGGAAUCUUCAAAGUAUCGGAGUGAAACCCAGAUGGUGUUUGAUGUGUGGAUAAUGAUUUAGUGCAGCUUGGUGAGAUUUGACCCUGCUUAUGGAUUCCACCCUCAUUAUCCUUGUACAUAUGUGUUUCAACAGGGGAGCCAUCAUCAUUAACACCAUCAUUAUCAACACUAAGACAUCACCUGAUUACAGGUCAAUGAUAACAUUACAAUAUUCAUGUUAAUCAGACCAUCUUCAUCUUCCUAUCUCAAAAAGCCAUUACCUCCGUCCUUAUCACUUAAGAGCAAAUUAUACCUCAUCAUCUCCACACGCACACACACACACACACAACCACACACGUGCACACAUUUCAUUAGGCUUAUAUAUCCUCCUCAGUCAUUACACAUGCUGUAAUUCUCCUAUCAUCAGUCUACACUGUACUUGUAGAUUGACUCCAGCAGAAGCCCUUUGAAGAACAGAGAGAGAGAGAGCGGGAAGAGGAAGAUGUAUGUGUGACCAUUAGAAUAGUAAAAGAGAGGGACUGCUCCUUCUCUAUUAUAGAAACACAGUAGAACAGGGCCAGCCAGACGACAGAGCAUGAAAGGACUGAUUUAUCCACCCGGGAGUGACUCUGAAUGUGUGUGUGUGUGUGUGUGUGUGUGCGUGUGAGGAAGAGCAAGAUGGAGGAAGAGCGAAAGAAAGAGAGGGAGUAGUGUGUAUUUGCCUGUUUUGCUCACUUUAUUAUUGAACGACGGAGCAUA